UCUGCAUGGGAAGGAUGAAGAUGAUAGUGAGUGGUUUCUGCUGCCCAUGAUAGAUCUUUCUGCAUCAGACUCCUGCAACUUUGUUUACGUCACAGAGUUCAGGACUGAACAGCCAAAUCCAUGGUGACCCUCUUACUCCUUGAGCUCUGGGACUCCAUCAGCAUCACAUCAACACACAUGGAUGUGAGAGAGCACUUGAGGCACUUGGAAGGCAUUUUUACUUAAAAAGCCUUGACCCCUCCCUGGGGCCCCACAAGUUGAUGUAGGUCAUGGAAAACCAUGUGAAGAUGGAAGAGAUGCUGAAGUAACAAGCCCCAGCGUAAGAGGUUAACAGAACCACUUAUUAUUCCUGGGGCUUCUCAAGCUCUAAGAGGAGAAACCUGAUAGAGACCUCCAAUUCAGAUUCUCUCUCUCCAUAACGUCUGGUUGUGAGUCUCUGCACGAAAUCCUAUCUGCUGCCAGAGGAAGCCUCCCUGAUGACGACUGGACAAGACACCGAUCUAUGAGAACAGCAGAAUAACAUUACAUGUGGGGAGCGGGGGGGGGGGCUUCCCCUGCAGUGGGUUGCUUACAGGGUAGGUAGCAGAGGAGAAACGGAAGAGAGGGAGGAGUGAGUUAGGCCGUGGUCAAGGGAAUCUCACAGCUGAGAACACUUCUGCAGCUCUGACUGACCAGCAACCAGGUGCUUCUUUCUACAGGUUUCACGGAACAGAAACAGACUAAUAAGCCUUCAAGAAGUAAAGCUUAUGCGGUUGAUUAUUUGUUACAUGUUCCGAGUUAUGAGUUCAGUCACAAUUAGAAACCACCAACAGAUUUUAGUUUUAUUAUCGGCCCAGUAAGUCCAAUGUAGAGAAUCUAAAGAAUAUCUCCUUCAAAGCAAACACAUUGAUUUUAUGACAGCCUGCUUUUAGGCUAGCAGUGUUUAACAGUUUUAAAGCACUCCAGACAAACAAAAUAUCUGAACCAGUCUUUUCAUGAACAGCAAAUAUUAAUACCUAACUCCUUUUACUAUGUUUCAUCAUCUAUGCUGUAAAGUAGAAAAAGUUUAUUUUCGUCAAUCCAUCUUAAUAACUGAGUUUAUUCCUCUCGGGUGCAUCUAGUAAGGCUAUCUCCUCUAUCUUUAAACUACACUUUCAGAGAGCUCUAAACUUAUAAUCUGUAACUUGUUCCCCUGGGCAGUCAAAGUUUGUCAGUUGCCUCUCUAUACCCUGAACCAAUUAUAAUGUUUUAGUUUUCUCAGGGGCAGAUACCCUGAAGAAGUUUCCUGGAGUAAUGACGUCAUCUAGCUACGUGCUUGGCUGGGCUUCAUGGUCUCCAGAACAUAAGCAAGACUUCAAAAUAGUAGAUGGAUAAAGCUAUGUUUAGAAGUUUCCUAAAAAAGACUCAGGCAUAAUUUUCCCUUGAAAUACAUAAAAUGAAUCAUAAUGCAGAAUGUCCCCAAGAAUGCAACAUGCAGACACCAAAACCCAGAAGUUAGGGACAGAAGGACAUUGAUUGCAGUACAUGACUCAGCUUUGCUGGAACUGUGUCAAGCAGCUGUGCUGACAUCAUGGCUCUCACUGUUUCCAGUGGAUAUGGCUUGCCCAACUAGGAAUCAUAUCACUGAUUAUAUGCAUUUAUGUAUAUAAUAAUUACGUAUUUUUGCCAGUCCUGAUCCUGCAUAUAGAGGCAGAAUAAGGCAUGGGUCUCAAGUUAAACUGGAACUCAAUUGGCCACUCC